GUGGAAGUGACAGGAACUCAGCAUCCCUGU
rnacentral:piRNA from 1 species